GAUGAACGCUGGCGGCGUGCUUAACACAUGCAAGUCGAACGGAAAGGCCCAAGCUUGCUUGGGUACUCGAGUGGCGAACGGGUGAGUAACACGUGGGUGAUCUGCCCUGCACUUCGGGAUAAGCCUGGGAAACUGGGUCUAAUACCGGAUAGGACCUCUUCUUGGAUGUUGUGGUGGAAAGUUUUUUCGGUGUGGGAUGAGCUCGCGGCCUAUCAGCUUGUUGGUGGGGUAAUGGCCUACCAAGGCGUCGACGGGUAGCCGGCCUGAGAGGGUGUACGGCCACAUUAGGACUGAGAUACGGGCCAGACUCCUACGGGAGGCAGCAGUGGGGAAUAUUGCACAAUGGGCGCAAGCCUGAUGCAGCGACGCCGCGUGGGGGAUGACGGCCUUCGGGUUGUAAACUCCUUUCGCUAGGGACGAAGCGUUUUUGUGACGGUACCUGGAGAAGAAGCACCGGCUAACUACGUG
rnacentral:rRNA from 1 species